AUGGUUGUAAAAGAAUCAGAAAUGAUUUCACACGAUGAAGUGGAAUCGCCAUUACAGUCUGAACAACAGCUCAAGCACCAUAGAUUCUCGUCUCUUGGAAGGCAAUCCUCCAUUUACUCACUCACAUUGGAUGAGUUCCAACAUACUCUUUGUGAGAGUGGCAAAAAUUUUGGGUCCAUGAACAUGGAUGAGUUCCUCACCAGCAUUUGGACAGCAGAGGAAAACCAAGCAAUUAACGCCAGUCAAUCGGGGACGUCCGCGGUUGCUGCCGUGGCAGCAUUGAGCAAUGCUCAGGGCCACUUUCCGGUGAGCGGAGCGUCUAUUGAGAAACGCAACAUAGAGAAACAAGCAAGCCUACCUCGCCAAGGUUCGCUUACACUUCCUGCACCCUUGUGUAGGAAAACUGUGGAUGAGGUUUGGUCCGAGAUACAUAAGAGUCAGCAGGGCAGGAAUCAAAAUAGCAACAGUGGUAAUGCCAACUCUCAGAAUCCGGAAUCUGCCACACGCCAACCCACGUUUGGGGAGAUGACACUGGAGGAUUUUCUGAUCAAAGCUGGAGUUGUUCGAGAACCUUGCGUUGGGGGAGGAGUGCCGCAGCCAUUGCCACCGUCCCAGCAAUAUGGUAUGUACCCAAAUAGCAACCACGCCAUUGGUGCUGGUUAUGUUUCCAGGCCUAUUAUGGGACUCAAUACAUCUGCAGCUGGUGGUGGUGCUAGCGGUAAUGCCGCUGCAGGUGGCAUUACGACAUACCAACCAGUUCCCCAAGGUGGCUCUACUAUUGGAGAUGCAUCAGGAUUUGCUGGCAAUGGUAAAAGAAACAGUGUGUUCUCAUCACAGCCUCCACCUGCAGUUUGUUAUGGUGGAAGAGUGGUGAACGGUGGCGGAGGUGGUGGUGGGGGAGGAGGAUAUCCACCUGCUCAACCGAUGGGGUUGGCAGCGCCUGUAAGUCCAGUAUCCCCAGAAGGAAUGUGUACAAAUCAGGUGGAUAGCUCAAAUCAAUUUGGGUUGGACUUGGGUGGGUUAAGAGGGAGGAAGAGGAUAAUUGACGGGCCAGUUGAAAAAGUUGUAGAAAGAAGACAAAGAAGGAUGAUAAAGAAUAGAGAGUCAGCUGCAAGGUCUAGAGCUAGAAAACAGGCCUACACAGUAGAGUUAGAAGCAGAGUUGAACCAAUUAAAAGAGGAAAAUGCUCAUCUUAAGCAGGCCUUGGCAGAGCUUGAGAGGAAGAGAAAGCAACAGCCAAUCUAAGGUUUCAAGUUUUUGUCCACCACACUUUUCAAUUACAUUGCUACUUGGAAUAGUCUUCACAUUAUAGUGAAGUCAACGGAUUGCGUCUCUCGUAUACAUGAGCCAAGAAAUCACCGAGAAGAAUGCAUCUACUUCAUCAUCCAUGAAACUGGACAAGUUCUGAAGUCCAGUGGUCUGAAAAUUUAGAUUGACCGUUUCGUCAUGGCAAGCUGUACGUCCGUACAUUUUGCUCUUUCUGAUGGUCGAAACCCAGUUGGCGUUUUAAAUGUUCUUGGAGGAAGAGUAUCAAUGUUAAAUGACAAUUCCUUAGGAAGAUUUGGGUGUGUUAAAAUGCAAGAAGAAGGGAGUGGGUUUGUGGGUGUUGGCCAAAAGUUAACUCUGCGUAAAUUCAAAUGUACCUCUGCCUCCCAUUCUCACAGUGUCAGCUCAUAUCCAAACAGAGACCCUUUUCUUGAACUACACCCUGAAGUUUCAAUGCUUAGAGGAGAUGGGAAUAUUAUUUCGGGUAGCCCAAGACAGGAUAGUUCAAUUGAAAAUAACACAGAGAGUUUGGGAGACAAAACCAGUCCAAGUAAUUAUGGUGAAGCAAAGAUUAAAGUCAUUGGUGUCGGAGGUGGUGGGUCAAAUGCAGUCAAUCGUAUGAUGGAGAGUUCAAUGAAAGGCGUGGAGUUCUGGGUUGUUAAUACGGAUGUUCAAGCUUUGAAAAUGUCCCCUGUGCAAUCCGAUAAUUGUCUCCAAAUUGGUCGGGAGCUUACGAGGGGUCUUGGAGCUGGUGGGAAUCCAGAGAUUGGAAUGAAUGCUGCCAAUGAGAGCAAGGAAGCUAUUGAAGGGGCACUUUACGGAGCAGACAUGGUUUUUGUCACUGCUGGAAUGGGUGGAGGGACAGGAACUGGUGGUGUUCCAGUUAUUGCAAGUAUUGCCAAGUCAAUGGGUAUAUUGACAGUUGGAAUUGUUACGACUCCAUUCUCUUUUGAAGGACGAAGAAGGACAGUUCAAGCCCAGGAAGGAAUUGCCGCUUUGAGAGACAAAGUUGAUACGCUUAUAGUCAUUCCAAAUGACAAGCUGUUAACUGCUGUUACCCAAUCAACAGCCGUGACAGAAGCAUUUAACCUUGCUGAUGAUACUCUUCGGCAAGGUGUCCGUGGUAUCUCUGACAUAAUUAUGAUACCAGGACUCGUCAAUGUAGAUUUUGCUGAUGUUCGAGCUAUCAUGGCAAAUGCCGGUUCUUCGUUGAUGGGAAUAGGAACUGCAACUGGGAAGACUAGGGCAAGAGAUGCCGCUUUAAAUGCCAUCCAAUCACCAUUACUUGAUAUCGGUAUUGAGAGGGCCACUGGUAUUGUAUGGAACAUUACCGGAGGAACCGAUCUGACCUUAUUUGAGGUCAAUGCUGCUGCAGAGGUCAUAUACGAUCUUGUAGAUCCAUCUGCCAAUCUAAUAUUUGGAGCAGUUAUAGAUCCAUUAAUCAGUGGACAAGUUAGUAUAACUCUUAUAGCUACUGGAUUUAAACGCCAAGAAGAGAGUGAAGGAAGGUCCUUCCAGGUGAGUCAGCAGGCACGGGGAGAAACCACGUAUGGAAUAAAUCGAAGUCCUUCUUUUGCUGAUGGCGGUCUUGUUGAAAUCCCCGAGUUCCUGAAAAAGAAAGGUCGAUCACGCUAUCCUCGGGCUUAAAAACUCUCCAUCUUUCAGCUACUCUAUACUGCUUUCCUUUCCAAGUACUACUACACAUUGCCUCAUGUAGGUUGUAGAUUUCUACUCCCCAUUGUUUGAAAGUAGUGUGGUAGUGUAAAUACAAAAUUGGAAUUGUAGCCGCCCAAAAUGUAAGAUCAGAGGUUCCUCCUUUGUAGUUUGGGAGCCUUAUUAUAAAUGCAAUGAAAAAUACACUUCAUGGAGCUGUACAGUUUUCAAA